rnacentral:lncRNA from 1 species
AAUAUAGUUGAUUUACAGUGUUGUGUCCAUUUAUUUCUCAAAUGGCUCCAAUUUAUCAUAAAUAUGUGAGUGUGCCCUUUAUUCUGAAGCCCCUCCUAAGUAGAGAUUUAAAUGGUAAUACAUAAAAUACUGUAUUCCAGGCAUAAUUCUAAACUAUCCACAUACAUUAGCUCAUUAAAUAGAGACUCAGUGGGGUUAAGAAACUUUGUAUUCCCAGGGAUACAAAGUUUAUCAGUGGAAAAACAGGAAUUUAAACCUAGGCUAUCUGGUUUCAAAGCCCUUAAUCUUGUGCUAUUUUUGCUUUAAUUUUUGCCACUGUGAUGGGUAUAGAGUGAUGUGUUCUGUUCCUUUAAUGUCAUGUUUUAAUGAAUAUUAAAGCGAGAGAACUUCUUGUCAAAUAUUUAUUUCUCACUAAGGUAUGUUCUUUAAUGAUUUAUUUAUUCAUGUUUGUAUCAGUUAGGGAUUAAAUUGGGCUGCCUUUAACAGAAAGCUUAAAUUAAAGUAACAAGGAUUUAUUUUUCCUUCAUUGAAAAAUAAGGGCAGAGGUGAGCAGUCCAGCCCUGGUGCAGUGGAUUUCUAAUGUCACUAGGGACCUGAGCUGCUCUGAGCUCUCUCCUCAUCCCUUCUUAGGAAAUGAAUGCAUCAUAGGUGGUGGCAGAGCUCCAGUUAAUUAUAGAUAAAAGUGAAGGGCAAGAGACAAAAGCACUUUUUCAGAAGCCCACACUGCAACUUAUGCUUAUGCCUCCUUGGCCAAGACCAUGUCACAAGGACACUCCAGCUUUGGGGGAAGCUGUAGCUCUUUCACUGGAUCCAGGACACCCUGAAUGAGAUGUGAGCUUUGAUGGGAAGGAGGUGAGAGAGAAUGGACACUGAGUAGACCAACUGGCCAUCAGUGUAAUAUUCUUUGUUCCUUUUUCUAUUGAACUGUCUCCUUAUUAUGAAUUUGUAAGAAUUAUUUCUCUAUAUAGAUAAUAGUCUUUAAUUUGCUAUCACUCAUUCAGGAAUUAUUUAGUGAGUCUCUUCUAUGUGACAGGCACUGCUCUAUUCUAAGAACUAAGGAUCAGUAGGAACAAAAUCAACAAAAAACUCCCUGGUAUUUAUAUUCUACUUGAGAAUACAGGACUCCCUCCCCUAAAAAAGGCAAAAUAUAUGGUAUAGUAAGUGGUAUUGACUAUGGUGAAGAAAAUGAAAGAAGGAGAGUUGGAAUCACAGAGACGCAAUUUUAAGUAGUGUGGUCAAGGUCAGCUACUGGGAGGGUGAUCUUUCUGAACAGACCUGAAGGAGAUGAGGGAAUAUUCAAGCCAUCAAAGCACCUAUAGGAAGAGACUUUCAGGGAAGUGGGCAUUGGUGAGCUAAGGACAGAGUUACAGGUGAUACAUUCCAAUAAGUUAAAAAGAACAUAGUGUGUAGACUGGUAUAACCACUGAAAAACCUAGCUUUCACUCUUGUUGAUGUGGAUAACCACUGGAGGGAUUUAUAUGAAGUUACAUGAUCUGACCUAACUUUUAAAAGGAUUACUCUGACUGUCAUGUUGAAAUUAGGGAUGAGGGGGAAAAAAUGUGAGACCAGGAAUUCCCUUUGUGGCUCGGUAGAAAUGAAUCUGACUAGCAUCCAUGAGGACACAGGUUCAAUCCCUGGCCUUGCUCAGGGGUUAAGGAGCUGCCAUUGCUGUGGCUGUGGUGUAGGCCAGUGGCUACAGCUCCGACUUAACCCUUAGCCUGGGAACCGCCAUAUGCUGUGGGUGCAGCCCUAAAAAGACCAAAAAAAAAAAAAAGAAGGAACGUAUGACAAGUCGUUGGAUUUUUAACAUAUUUUGAAAAUGGACCACUUAGAUUUAUUGUUAGAAUGGAAGGUGGGUUGUAAUAGAAGACAGUCCAAGGUCACUCUAAGAUUUUUGGUCUGAGAAACCGAAAUGACAGAAUAACUGGUAAUUGCAUUAGGGUGGUCUGUGGGUAGAACAGAUGAGGGGUAGGACAAUGCUGAGAAUCUGUAGUUCAGAGCAGUGGGAAGAGUAGGAUACAUAAAUGUCAGUUUUCAGUGUACAGAUGUUUUUCGAUGUGAUGAAAUUAGAUGAAAUCAAGAAGACUAUCUAUGCAGUUAGAGAGCAAAGGAGAGUCAAAGGACUGCUGGUAAGGUAGAUGGAGAAACAGAAGAGCAGGGGUAUGCUCCUUAGGAGAGGAAAGCCUAUGAGCUAGUAUAUGAGCUCAAUUGCCAUCCUUAAGCUAAGGACAGUCAACCUUAUAUCUCCAGCAAAGGUGUCUUUCUUCCAACAGGCAAGAUACUUUCCCACAUCUCCAAUCCAACGUAAUUAGACCUUCAUAAUACUUUUACUUACUCCCGUUCCAAGACCCUCCACUCCUAGGUUUGUCUAAUGUUGUUUCGUACUAAUGAUUCCAGACUAUAACUAAGCUUCUUCUUGCAGCAUUAUCACUUUUAUUCCAUCAAAUUUAUCUAUUCUUUAUGAUAUACAUUCUCAGGAACCCUUUAAAUAUAUACUCUACACAAUUCACACUGUAGGUGUCCCAGCAGAGAUAGUAAAUUAUCUAAAAUUGAAGGAAAUACAAGAUUUGAGAUCCCAAAACCCUUACACCAGGAGGUGCCAAGUUAUUGACCACUGUUAUUUGCACUCAGGCAAACACCAAAGUCUGAGCUACUCUGCACAUGGCCUUGGUUUCACUGAUGGAUAUGCUGGUACCCCCUUCUCAGAACUAGAAUUGGCAAACCAAUCAAUUGUACAAAUUAUGAUCCAAUCUAUUAUCCAUCAGGCAUUCAUAUGAUGUAGCGGUCUCCAAAUUUUUAUGAUCAUGAUCCUGUACAAAAGCCCACAUGCAUGCGUGUAUGCACAUGUGUGUGCCUAAAAAAACUUUUUGCAAAUAAUACCUUGAAUAUAGAAAAAUGCUCCUCCUAUACUCUAGUUUACUUCUUUCUUUAAAUUGCUUAUUGUAUUACCUUAUGACCUCAUGAUUGCAACCCACCAUUUGCAAAACACCAAUUUAGAUACCUUUUAGUAUAUUGAGGAAGAAUAAAAUAAUAACAGUAAUUUUUUUAUAAUGUAUGAUUCACACGGAACAGUGCUAAGCACUUUACAUGGACUAUCUCAUAUAAUCCUUAAAAUAGCUCUAAGAGUUCAGCAUUAUUAUUUACUCCAAGUUAUAGAGGAAAGCAUAAUUAUUAGAAUAGUCAAUCAGUUUGCAAAGUGUUACGUGACACAGAAGAAUCAUUCUAGAUGCAAUGGUGAUAACUGCUACACUCUUUUAUUUCCUGUUUCAUGCUCUGAAACACUGAAUGGAUAUAUCUUCAAAAAUUACAAUUCCAAGAUGCACAACUCUUCCCAAGUGAUUCCAAGGCUCUUCCCUUCCAAUGCAGCCACCAUCCCCACAGUCCUUCCAGUAAUUACACCACUUAGGAGCCGCUGGUCUCUUCUGGUGCUCUGAUCCACCUUUUGUGAUGGCUGUUCUAAUGAAAUGUCUUUCAUUUCUUAUAUUCUUUUUUAUGACAUAAAUUCUUUCUUAACAAAAGAAUUUUGAAUUCUUUUUUCAUGACCUUUCUGAUUAAAUUCCUACUAAAUGGUUAAUUCAAUAUUCCUGGUUCAAAUUCUUGACAGAAUUAAAUUAAUCUGAUUGAUUCUGAUUUCUCACACCCAGCAAUGGCAUUGAUUUGUGCUAAUUCUUACAGCCCCUCAUGUGUGUUCCUACACUGUAUUUUCAACUCUGGCACUUACCACAUGUGUAAUUUCCUAUCUACAGUUAUGUCUCCCUUGUAAGAUUGUAAACUCCUUGAGAGUAAUAGGUAUAUGUCUUAUUCACCAUUGUACCACCUAAUCUUGGUGUAUAGGAAGACAUAGGAUAUGAAUAAAUCAAAAGAAGUGAACUUGCCAAUCAAGUAACAACAGGAGAAUGAGAAGGAAAGAAGUUAUAGAAUAAGAAAUCAGAAAGAGAGAAGGAGUAAUAGAGGAAUUGUGGUAGAUAAUGUUCAACCCUUAGUUUAAAAAAAAAAAAAGUGUCAGGGGAAAAGAAUAAAAGAUCCUGUAAGUAGUCCUAAUCAAAGUGACCUUACAUAUGGCCUCAACCUUCCACUGGAAAAGUGAAAAAUAUUGCCAAAGGGGUUUUGCCUAAGCAAUGGUAUGGAAGUAAAGAAUGGAGAACUGCAUUUGCCCCCAGCACAAGCUGCUAAAAAUACGUGCAAGAUGAAUUCAAUAUGUUGAAGAUACUUGGAAAAGCAGCAUUGGUCAAUUGGUCAAUAACACUUCUGUGUUAAUUAAGUAAUUUUCUGAGUCAAAUGUUCAUACACAUGUUGUCUGGUUUGAAUCACAAAAGUCUAGGAAACCAAGGCAUGUUAGGCUCUAGGGGAGACAAAGGGUCAGAAGGUAAAUCAUGCCCCAGACUAAUAAUGAGCCAGAAUUGGCUCUCACAGACCAACUUCAGGUCUUAAAUCAACCAGCAACUUCCAAGGCAUGAGGAAAACUUAAGGGCACAAAAUCAGGCCCUGGUUCCUUUGUAUCUUGCUUACACAUCCUUUCAAAGCCAAGCAAAUGAGAGGUCUUUUAUAUAAAAUGUUUGUGAUAAUAAAAUGAAAUAGUAUUGCUCUUGCUAUGUAUUCUGACCAGUUUGAAAAAAAUCAAAUUAAUUUCAUGGAACUGAGUUUUGGAUGAUAUUGAAUAUAGCCUAAUAUAAUUCACUAUACAUAUUUUUUAAAUGACAUUGCCAGAUAACAUGAUGUUCCGUUACAACAAUAUUAGAUUAAAUCUGGUUUCCUUAGCUGAAUCACCUAGAUAUGUAUAAAGUAAAUAUGAAAAGUGGAAAUUUAGGAAACAUUUUAACUAUACUUCUGUUGCUAAAAAUAAGUUGACUUUCCUUUUCCUAUCUAAUUUUUUGCCUCCUAAUUUCUCAUGAGUUUGCUUGGAGAAUAACUCAGGCAUCUGAACAUUCCAAAAAGCUUUACCCAAUAGGGUUCUUAAUCAGUUCCUUAUUGUUUUGCCUGUUGUCACGUUUGCUUAAAAGGUAAAUUCUGCCUUUCAGUGGCUGUGCGCAUGUUACCAAGGACAUACUGGCCCUGUGUUUGCUUCAUCACCAUAUUCAUAUCCAGUACUACCGUUCUUCUGUUGACCAACUCUAUGGAUUCACAUAAACUCUUCUUAUUUUUCCUCCCUCAUCUCUCUUUUAUAAGCUUUUAAGUAUUAGAAAACCCACAUUUCUUCUGUUGAAGCCCAUCAUAUUUUCAGGAGUUUCCAUUGUAUCACAUGUUUCAAACACAAAUAGCCUUCAGUGCUCAUGGUUUUGCUGGAUCCUCCUUUAAUACUUUUGGAAAUCACAACAGAAAUAAUAGCUUAUAAAUAGAUUCUAUAGAAGAUCAACAAAUACCAGUGGGGUUUAUAAGAGAACUAUUUUUUUCUUAUUUAAUAAACUAUCCUGACCAUGUACUUUGACCUCGGUAAUGGAAAGGCAUGUUUACUACUUUUAAUAAAUCCUAAUAUGUUCCAAUGCCCAGUUGUAUAGCUUUUAUUUUCUAAAAUUAUGACUUUUCUUCCAAAUAUUUUAGCUACCAUAAGUCAUAUCUCAUGAUAUAUAUACUUGGCAUGUGAAACUAGAGGUUUAAAACCUGAGACUUUUUAAAAAAAUAAGUAGAUCAUUCUAUGCCAUCAUUUUGAAUUAAAAUCUAUCAUUAAAUAGUUCAGAUGGAAAAAAAAAUAACUGCUUCUAGGCCAUUUAUUGUAUCAUAAGGAUCAACAUGACCAAGAACUGCUAAGGAGUCUGUUAAAAGCUUAAUUCAAGCCAUGAGCUUCAGGUAAAGACUGUGGAUAGCACUGAGGCAAAGUCUGUUGAUAAACAGAGGUGGAUGUUCUGACAGUAAAGGGAAAGCACAGACACUACUCCAAAGAAUAUGAAGAAGCAUGAUGAUGAAAAUAAAGAUCAGAGAUGGAAGAAGAUCAAUGAAUGACCAGUCAUCAUUUUCCAAUACCCAUUGCUUUGAGAGCUGCUUUUCAGACUGGAGAGUCCAAAGGAAAAGCAUUUCAUAUUCACUGAAUAAAAUGUAAUUUGGAAAACAUCUCAAAUGGACAAAAACAUGUUAGACCUGCAUUGCUAAUGAGAGUCACACACAAGGAUGCACAAAUUUCUAGGGAACUGUCAAAAUGACAAGAGUAGCUAAAUUAGGUAGAACUAGUCUAAAAGGUCCUCAUAAGAGGGGAGAUUAGGGAUGAGUUUUCAAUGAGAAGCAGAAGUUGAGGACGAUCAGGGAAAUGGAUCAGUUGUCACAUGUAAAGACUGAGGAAACAGGAGUUUGUAGUCAUGUUUGGAAAGCUACGCAUAUCUGUUUGGCUGAAAAAUAUAAAUUGUCUCUUAGGAACAUGGUAUUCACAACAAUGAGAAUUAGGAGAUCUGCGUGGAAAUUAUACCCUCCCAUAGAUCCAAGUAGUUUGGAAUCUCAGAAUCAAGAGCAAGACCUAGCACAAAUUGUCAUGCAAUAGAGAUACGUUCAUUGGAAAGAUACACACAUGAAGGGGUCAAGGCAAGAAAACACAGUGGACCCUCCAGCUGCUACACUGGGUACUUUUGCCUACAUGACCUGAUCUGAUCUUUCAACUCUAAAAUUUGAAGUUAUUAUGUAAAUUAGAAUUAGUAUCCUAUUUCUAGAGUUCCUGUCGUGGCUCAGCAGGUUAAGAACCUGACUAGUGUCUGUGAGGACAUAGGUUUGAUCCCUGGCCUCGCUCAGUGGGUUAAGGAUCCCGUGUUGGAGUAAGCUGCAGUGUAGGUCACAGAUGCAGCUUGGAUCUGGCGUUGCUAUGACUGCGGCAGCUGUAACUAUGAUUCCCCCCCUCACCUGGGAACUUCCAUAUGCUGCAGGUGUAUCCCUAAAAAGAAAAAAAAAGAAAAAGAAAAUUUUAAUUGAAAAAAAUUAAUAAGGCAAACUCCAUAGGUGAGGCAGUCUGUCCCUCCAGAAGCAGAUUCUAGAAGCUGACUGGGCCUCCCGAUUCACUACUCUCUCUCCUCCGUAGAUUGACUUGCCUUUUCUUUAUGACUGUGGCCACCACUGGCCUUCUUGUUUACUCUGGAGUGGCCACUGUCUUGUGGUCACUGACCCAAGUCCUAUGCAAAUAUUAUAGAGAGUCUUUUCAGCAUCCUCUUAGGAGGUGGUCAGCCAGCAGAGCCAGUUCUAUCAUGUGUUAUUUAUCAAAGCUAAAUUAUAUGGCUAGCAAAAAACAGCACACAGACAAAUUAUAGAGAAAUGCUUAUAUCUUU